AGAACGAACGCUGGCGGCAUGCCUAACACAUGCAAGUCGAACGAGACCUUUGGGUCUAGUGGCGCACGGGUGCGUAACGCGUGGGAAUCUGCCCUUAGGUACGGAAUAACAGUGAGAAAUUACUGCUAAUACCGUAUGAUGUCUUCGGACCAAAGAUUUAUCGCCUAGGGAUGAGCCCGCGUAGGAUUAGCUAGUUGGUGGGGUAAAGGCCUACCAAGGCUACGAUCCUUAGCUGGUCUGAGAGGAUGAUCAGCCACACUGGGACUGAGACACGGCCCAGACUCCUACGGGAGGCAGCAGUGGGGAAUAUUGGACAAUGGGCGAAAGCCUGAUCCAGCAAUGCCGCGUGAGUGAAGAAGGCCUUCGGGUUGUAAAGCUCUUUUACCCGGGAAGAUAAUGACUGUACCGGGAGAAUAAGCCCCGGCUAACUCCGCGCCAGCAGCCGC
rnacentral:rRNA from 1 species